rnacentral:lncRNA from 1 species
CCAUCCCAUCCCACGAGGCCACGACCAAGCAGGCAGCAAGGGCUACCCACCCGCUUGACCGGAAGUGCCGCCGCGGCAGGUGCACGGGCUACUGCCGGUGGACGUCGCCGCCGCCGUAGUAGGGGCACGUCGCCAACGCCGCCCUCCGCGGCCGCCGCUGGAGUCGUCGCCGCCGCCGCAGGAGUCAACCGCUGCCGCAGGAGCACGUCGCCCCUGCCGCCGUGGGGACACGUCACCAACGCCGCCCCCCGCGCCCGUCGCGGCCGCUGCUGGAGUCGUCGCCGCCGUUGCAGGUGCUUGUUGCCCCUGCCGCCGACUCCUGUGAUUUCAUCGCUGUCGUAGAGGUAGACGGUUGUGAUUUAAUUGUGCCGAUUUUUGUUUGACCAGAUUUGAGUACUGAGAAUGAAUUGUGAAAUUUUCUUUAUAGGCAAACUCUUUAUGAGUGAAGAUAUGGCUGACAAUUUCAGGACCCUUGAGGAGGAAGAGGAGUAUCGUACGAUUACUGCUAUGAGAUUCAAGACUGAGGAUGACGGCUUCAAGUUAUAGGCUAUUACAUUUUGCAAUCAUGUCUCAAAGUUGUUUUGUCAUUCCUACAAUUUCAGGAAAGUAGAAGAAGAUGUGUGAGAUGGAUAAGAAGUAGAAGCAGCCCUUUGCUAUGCACUUUACAUAGUUUUGUCAUUCUCUUGGUCGUAAUGAAUACAUUGGACUGUAAUGAAUCUUUGAUGUGCUUUCCUGUAGUAUGAUGGAUGUACUGCUAUUUUGAGUUGUGCUCGCAUGGUUGAAUUUUGAUGUGUUUAACUGUAUGUGAACAUGGUGUAUGCGAAUCUGAAAAUUAUGUGUUUUGGUGCUGGUGCGUUCUGGAAAUGAAGAUAUGUUUGAUGUAUUGCAAUUUGGUGCGCUGAAUUGUUUACUGUAUGUGAGUAUGAAGUUGUGCUAGCAAAUUUGGUAACAUUGAGCCAAUAUUGCUUGAUAUGCUUGAGACUGACAGCCGGAUGG